CUCUGGAGCUGUGGAUCAGAAAGGGCAAAGUAUAUUAAAUGGACAAGUAGAAGGAGCAGAUAAGAAUGCUGAGGAAGAUUCUAGAGCCAGGCUUUCUGACAAACCUGGUCCUGACGAUUCAUGGUCUACCUCAUCUAGCGAAGACUUAGAUUUUGGUACCAAGAGUAUGUCUGAGAAGCCCAACAAAUAUGUCCCUCAUGUCUCUGGAGCUGUGGAUCAGAAAGGGCAAAGUAUAUUAAAUGGACAAGUAGAAGGAGCAGAUAAGAAUGCUGAGGAAGAUUCUAGAGCCAGGCUUUCUGACAAACCUGGUCCUGACGAUUCAUGGUCUACCUCAUCUAGCGAAGACUUAGAUUUUGGUACCAAGG